rnacentral:rRNA from 1 species
ACGGGAGGCAGCAGUGGGGAAUAUUGCACAAUGGGGGAAACCCUGAUGCAGCGACGCCGCGUGAGCGAAGAAGUAUUUCGGUAUGUAAAGCUCUAUCAGCAGGGAAGAAAAUGACGGUACCUGACUAAGAAGCUCCGGCUAAAUACGUGCCAGCAGCCGCGGUAAUACGUAUGGAGCAAGCGUUAUCCGGAUUUACUGGGUGUAAAGGGAGCGUAGACGGCGUAUCAAGUCUGAUGUGAAAGGCCAGGGCUCAACUCUGGGACUGCAUUGGAAACUGGUAUGCUUGAGUGCCGGAGAGGUAAGCGGAAUUCCUAGUGUAGCGGUGAAAUGCGUAGAUAUUAGGAGGAACACCAGUGGCGAAGGCGGCUUACUGGACGGUAACUGACGUUGAGGCUCGAAAGCGUGGGGAGCAAACAGGAUUAGAUACCCUGGUA